rnacentral:rRNA from 1 species
CCUACGGGAGGCAGCAGGGAGGAAUAUUGGUAAAUGGGCGCAAGCCUGAACCAGCCAAGUAGCGUGAGGGAUGAAGGCCCUAUGGAUUGUAAACCUCUUUUAUAAGGGAAUAAAGUGCGGCACGUGUGCCGUUUUGUAUGUACCUUAUGAAUAAGGAUCGGCUAACUCCGUGCCAGCAGCCGCGGUAAUACGGAGGAGCCGAGCGUUAUCCGGAUUUAUUGGGUUUAAAGGGUGCGUAGGCGGCCUUCUAAGUCAGCGGGGAAAGUCUUUGGCUCAACCGUAGAAUGGCCGUUGAAACUGGGAGGCUUGAGUAUGUUUGAGGCAGGCGGAAUGCGUGGUGUAGCGGUGAAAUGCUUAGAUAUCACGCAGAACCCCGAUUGCGAAGGCAUUCUACCAAGCCAUGACUGACGCUGAUGCACGAAAGCGCGGGUAUCAAACAGGAUUAGAUACCCUUGUAGUC